UCUUGAUCAUGCUUCAUCCAACCGUUUUUUAUGGCUUAUCAAGUGAUUCCAAAGCACCUAACUAAGUUCAUCAACCAUUUACCUGUUGUCAUCCAUCUUGUACGUAUAUAAACAGUACUACAUAUAUAUAAUCAAAUUUAAGUAAUAAAACAAUACUUACAGUGAGUGAAGAGAACUCUUUUUUCAAAAUUGGGUAGAGAAUCGUACUGAUAACGUAUUAUAAAAGAUUAUACUAAAU
rnacentral:lncRNA from 1 species